AAACAUGUCAUCUUGAAUUUAAUUGGAUGUCUGACCUGCCCACUGAUUAAUUGAAGGGCCGCGGUAUUUUGACCGUGCAAAGGUAGCAUAAUCAUUAGACUUUUAAUUGGGGUCUGGAAUGAAGGGUUUGACGUAAUACUUACUGUUUCAGUCUAAGUUAUUGAAUUUGACUUUUAAGUUAAAAGGCUUAAAUGGGUAUAGGGGACGAUAAGACCCUUUAGAACUUUACACUGCAUUUUUAUUUUAAUUUGGGUUUUGACAUUAAUUUACUAUUAGAAGUGUUUUACUGGGGCGGUAUUUGGAUAAAUGUAACUCUUUUUGUUAGUACUUUGAUUAUUGGGUUUUGGAUUCACUUUUGUGAUUUAAGAUGAAGUUACCUAAGGGAUAACAGCGUAAUCUAUUUGGAGAGUUCUUAUUGAUAAAUAGGUUUGCGACCUCGAUGUUGAAUUAAGAUUCCUAUUGGGUGAAGUAGUUUAUUAAGGAAGUCUGUUCGACUUUUAAAUUCUUACGUGAUCUGAG
rnacentral:rRNA from 1 species